CUGAGAGGGGAAGAGUGUCAUAGUCAAGGAGAGGAGACAGUGCAAGCAGAUCCUGCGGCUGCACGUGGCUCUUGGAGGCUGGAAAGAGACCUAAGGUUUGGAGCAAAGUGAAAGAACAGGUUUGUCAAGACUUGGGCUGGAAAUUGUGGUUUCCGCAUGAAGACUUCCCUGGGCUUCUUAGCAUCUCCCUUCACUCCUCUCACCCAAAAGUUUUAGUUACAGUCAACUAAGAUUCACAAUAGUAAAUGGAAAAUUGCAGUUAGAAGCAAUUCAUCAGUUCAAAAUUGGGCCUCACUACCACUAUGAUGUGAACGGAUUUCCUCCACCAGACCCUUCCACCAUGUGAUUCCUGUGUUUGAACCUGCGGGACAUGGAAUGAAACUUCUAAAAUGUGAACCAAAAUAAAC